UUUAUAAUAAAUAUGUAAUGUUUUCUAUAAAACUACGAGUUUUUAAUUGCAAUGCAAUGCAAUUGCAACUACCCCUCACAAAAAGAUGGCGUAAGCAUAGCAAAAACUUAUUGUAGAUUUCUGCUGUACCUUAACAUAUGACAGAUGGGGCUGAUUUUUAAAAAUCGCAGAAAAAAUGAUAAAUCAUAUUAUCCUAAUAAUUAAAUGAUAUUUUUCUCAAAAAAAAAUAUAUAUAGUGGAAUUCUAGUUCAAUUUGAUUAUUUUUCAGCUGAAUUCUAGUGGAAUUUAAUUUUUUUAUUUAGUGGAUUUCUAGUGAGAUUUAAUAUAGUUUCUGGUGGAAUGUCUUGUAAGAAAGUUGGCAACACUGCUCUCAGUUGUAUAUUACUGUUGUGGUUGAUCGAUUAGUAUUCGCUGUUUUAGUGGCAAUUGUUUGUGUUUGUUUACUUGACUUUUGCAUUUCUUUGGGUUUAUAAUAAAUAAAACUAAAUAUUUUAAUACAUCAUGCUCAAAAAAUGUGUGGAAAUACUUCACGAAAGUCGGAGGAUCUGAAAACACUGCCCAGUGUAAAUUUUGUGACAAAAAGUUAAAGACUAGUGGCAACACUUGCAAUCUAAAGGGACAUUUCAAAAUUCACCAAAAACUAUUAUUAAGCAGUGAUGAGGAUAAUAGAAAUGAGAAUAACAAGAAUGAAACACCACCAAGAAAAAUUCCACAUAUAGAAAAAUACUUUCAGAAACGAAGCGAACAACAAGAAAAAGAAAUUAGUGUUGCUAAACAUACUGCUUUAUGGUUAUUGUUGGCAGUUUUUCUGGGGCGGUGAGUACUAGUGACAGAAAAUAUCAAGGAACUGAUGAAGUAUCCAGGCAACUGAAUACUUCAAGAGCUUUUGAGAAUAUUGGUUUUGCAGAAGGUGGAAGGAAACAUACCCGAAUAACAGAAGCGCUAAUUUAUUAUAUAUGCAAAGAUAAUAUGCCAUUUAGUCUUGUUGAAGGUACAGGUUUUGGAAAAUUUAUUAAAGAAUUAGCUCCUUUAUAUAAAACGCCUUGCAGAAAUACGAUAAAAUUAAGAAUAAAAAAGUAUGAGGCAAUUUCUACUGUUUAUAAGGAAAAGUUGGCGAAAAUUGAUAAUUUAGUUUUAACUACGGAUAUUUGGACCGAGACGAUGCAGAUGAAAAGUUUUCUGGGCAUAACUGUUCAUUUUUUGGAAGGCACAAAUAUGACGUCUAGUUCAUUGGAUGUCACUGAGCUAUCGGAAUCCCAUACCGCUGAUUAUGUUAGUGACAUAUUAAAUAAGGUUUUACAAGACUGGAAUAUAAAAAAUGACUCAAUCUCAGCUAUAGUCACUGACAAUGAUGCCAAAAUGUUGAACGCAAUUGGAAAUCUUUUUGGCAUGAACAGGCACUUAAGUUGUUUUGCUCACACAUUGAAUUUGACUGUAGAAAAUGCAUUGCGACGCUCGGGACUUGCUGGUUUAUUAUUAGGGUGCGAAAUUGUAAAAUUUGUUAAAGCAAGUACAAACGCAUCGGAUAGCCUUAGAAAAGAGCAGUUAAGGUAUUGCAGAAGGCAAAAUUAGAAACGUUUUUUUAGAUGUUUCGACCAGAUGAUGAAAGAUUUCUAGAGCUAUUACCACGCCUUUGUAAUAUUUUAUUGGAAAGACCCAAUUCUCCAUCUAUGUUGUCAGCAAAUGAGGUAGAACUCCUAAAAGAAGCAGUUCAACUUCUUCAGAUAAUGGAAAGGUUGACAGUAGAAGCCUCAGGGGAAAAAUAUACAACAGUAAGCAUGGUCAUUCCUUUAAUUAAGUGCACUAUAAAAAACCCAGCGUCUAUGAAUCUAACUCUUCCUUAAACCAUUUUGUUAAAGGGGGAAUUAGAAAAAGAAAUCGUGAAGCAUUUUGGGAAUCGAGAAUACUCAAAUUUACUAGCCCUUGGAGCAUUUUUAGAUCCAAGAUUUAAAAACGUCCAUUUUAAUAACCCAUUGGCAAUUUCAAAAAUUCUACAACAAGUAAGUAAAAUGGUUCGCGAGUUCGAAAAUCAAACGCUCAAAGCAUCAAUGGCUGCAAAUAAUGAAAUCCAAAUAAUAUCUACCUUUGAAAACUCAGAGGAGUGUAAUAAAGUUGAUAUUUGGAGUUUUCAUAAGACUCUUACGCAAAAAGAACAAGUUAAUAGGAUAAGAGUGGGUAGCAGCAGUGGUUCAGAUUUAAGUCCAGAAGUUCGUUUAUAUAUUUCUGCACCACUUGCCAGUUUAAAGGACAACCCCUUAGAAAUAUGGGAGGAAAUUAAUGCAGCAUAUCCAAACUUAUAUAAAGUAGCUAGAAAAUAUCUAGGAGUUGUAUGUACUUUUGUACCCUCUGAACGGUUAUUUUCUUUAGCUGGGGAUACAGUUUCCCAAGAAAGAAACCGACUUUCUGGAAAACUUUUGUCAAAAUUACUUUUUUUGAAUACUCUACCAGAUGAGUACUGAUAGGUUUGUUGUGUAUUGUAUUUGUUAUAAAGUUUUUUACUCGGUUUUUUGUUUAUCUUUUCCAAAACAUAUAUAUCUCAGAUAUUAUUAGUUAAAAGUUGUUUUUUUGUAUAUCAUACAAUAUGUAUAAUA
rnacentral:lncRNA from 1 species